GCCGAGGUGGCGAAAUUGGCAGACGCGCCAGCCUUAGGAGCUGGUGGGGCAACCCGUGGGAGUUCAACUCUCCCCCUCGGCA
rnacentral:tRNA from 1 species